rnacentral:rRNA from 1 species
UAUUGGACAAUGGGGGCAACCCUGAUCCAGCCAUGCCGCGUGAGUGAUGAAGGCCCUAGGGUUGUAAAGCUCUUUUGUGCGGGAAGAUAAUGACGGUACCGCAAGAAUAAGCCCCGGCUAACUUCGUGCCAGCAGCCGCGGUAAUACGAAGGGGGCUAGCGUUGCUCGGAAUCACUGGGCGAAAGGGUGCGUAGGCGGGUUUUAAGUCAGGGGUAAAUCCUGAGCUCAACUCCAGACUGCCUUUAUACUAAGUCUUAGUCCGGAGGGGUGGGUGAACUGCAGUGAAGGUAAAUUCGAGUUUCGAAGACACCAGUGCAAGCGCUACUGGCCCGUCUGCGUGGACAAGCGAUCU